GACGAACGCUGGCGGCGUGCUUAACACAUGCAAGUCGUACGGUAAGGCCCUUUCGGGGGUACACGAGUGGCGAACGGGUGAGUAACACGUGAGUAACCUGCCCACAACUUUGGGAUAACGCUAGGAAACUGGUGCUAAUACUGGAUAUGUGCUCCUGCUGCAUGGUGGGGGUUGGAAAGCUCCGGCGGUUGUGGAUGGACUCGCGGCCUAUCAGCUUGUUGGUGGGGUAGUGGCCUACCAAGGCGGCGACGGGUAGCCGGCCUGAGAGGGUGACCGGCCACAUUGGGACUGAGAUACGGCCCAGACACCUACGGGAGGCAGCAGUGGGGAAGAUUGCACAAUGGGCGCAAGCCGGAUGCAGCAACGCCGCGUGCGGGAUGACGGCCUUCGGGUUGUAAACCGCGUUCAGCAGGGACGAAGCUUUUUGUGACGGUACCUGCAGAAGAAGCACCGGCUAACUACGUG
rnacentral:rRNA from 1 species